GAACUAUAUGUAAUGGGAGGAAGGUGCAAAGGACGAAUUUAGAGAGAAGAUGCAGAUAUUGUGCUCAAGGUUUCAAGAUCCUUGAUCCAGUCAUGCAGAGCUAGGUAUUUCAGAAGGUAAUGCUUUUCUUAUGGAGGAAGGAGAAUGGAUAAGUUCUCUGAACUCUUGACCUCCCAGUAUUUAGCAAUGACCCACAUCUAUUGGGUAAGGUGUAGCGUGACCAGUCUGGUCCUCAUCAGAAGUCAGGAGCCAGGAAACGUAGCCAUCAUUCAAGCACACCAUCCUGGUACUCCUGGGAGAAUUUACCCUAUGAGGAUGAAUUUUUCAACAAUGAAUUUACUCUGGUAAGUCAGGUGAUCAUAGAGCUAAGAAGA